AGCAAGGGGAAGAGGUUCUUCUAUGACACGCUAAUUCUAUACUUCCCCUACAGAAACAACCCACGCUCGACCUUUUGGCUGCGUGGUCACUAGAUGUUCAUCUUUAUUCACCAACAUUCAAAGGUCCCCAAAUCCCUCUCGGGAGGUCCAUGGCAUCAUGAGAACCAGCCUGUCCUGCACGACCGCCCUGAACCAGGGCCUGCCGAUAUCUUCCAGCUACAUCUGCUGCAACUGCUCUUCUCCAGCUGAGACAGCCGCGGCCUUACCCUGCCAGGCUUUGCAGGAACCAGCUUGGCAAGCAGCAGCCUCUAAGGACACCGGUAGAAAAUGGAGGCAGGAGAUAUAAAUCCAGCACAAGGAAAUAAAGCGACGAUGCCGUCACUUGUGCCGGCGUUCAGCUUGAUGGGAGCACAAACACCGCCAGCGUUCGGACACCGGCUUUAAAGGUUAAAACAACACCCUCGCCUUCCACGCGUGUUCUCGUUACUUCCAGCUCUCCCCGACGAAAAGCCGGGAGAAGUGCCCCGUUCCCGAACCUGCCACAGCUCACAGCAUUCCAAACCCCUCCCAGUCAGCCCCGGUUUGACCUCCUGCCGCCGAGCACCGGGGACGAUGCCGGGUAAAAUGCGGCAGCGAUCCCUGGGGGUGGGAGAUUCCCAUCCUCAA